AGUGUAGCGAAGUAGAGAUAUCUCCCUUUAAACCAGAUACCCCCCCCUCUCUCUCUCUCUCUCUCUCUCUCCUAUUUUCAUCAUCCUUUCUACUGGAGGUCAACAAACUAUAGUAGGAUGAAACCUGGUCAUUUCCACUUGUCCAAAUGUUCCAAGAAUAGGAUGUUUGUAGAUAAUGAGAAUGCCCCUUAUUUCAUUGGAGUUUAGGUCCAUUCACAUGAAGGAAAGGAUAGGAUUAAAUCUGUUCACAUAGAAUAGGUACAUGACCUAUAGUAGACAAAGCCCCUAUUCAACCAGUGUUGCCAAAACUUAAGACUUAGAUUUAUUUACCCCAGGAUUAGAAACACAGGGAGAGGAAGUUAAUGUUGACAAUCUUUGAUGAUAAGCAAACAUAUAAAUUGUCCUUCUGCCUCUGCGAAAACCAGUUUGGGCUGGAAGACAAAGCAUUUGUUUUCUUGGAAAAGGAGUUGGGUCAGCGCAGGAAGUACUAGCAGGGAUAUACCCCACUGUCCAAUGAGCCUUUGUCUUUUCUACUCCUUCCCCUUAUUUUUACUUUCGCCCAAUCAGAAUGUUAGGAUUAAUGGUCCAGGAACACUGUUUGAGUGUCCAUCAAGUGUUAUGCCCGCCCAGUCACCUACUGUAAUUAUAACGAAAUAGUGAAGUUUAGUGUAAGAAUAUUUUGUAGGAGGAGAUCUCAGAAUCGAGAUUGUGAAUAUGUAAUUAGGUAUAAAACCCCCAUCCCCUGCAUGAAAUCCUCACUUGGAACCCCCUCACUUAGAACGUCCCCACCCGGAACCUUUCUCCUCCUAACCCAUCUCUAACUCAUCAGUGCUCCAAGAUCAAAUAUAGAACAUACUUCAAGAUUUGGACUUUGGAGAAGUGAAGCAACAGUUUUGGUUGACCUUCUACGAUAUAUUCUAGCAAAAAGCAACAGUAUCAGGUUGAGAGAAUUUCAUGAUCGACAGAAAGCAGCAACAGUUAAAUUGAAACAAAGCUUUAACGUUUAAGCUAAAGGACUUUCACACAACCAUCAAAGUGUCCAAGUCAACUUCCAGUUUCGUCCAAGUCAAGUUCCCGUGUUGUCCAAGUCAACUUCCAGUUUCGUCCAAGUCAAGUUCCCGUUCCCGUACCCGCCAAGUCACCAAGUCACGUCCAGCUUCGUUCCUGUCAUAUCCUGUCCAGCUUUGUUCCCGCCAAGUCACCAAGUCACGUCCAGCUUCGUUCCUGUCAUAUCCUGUCCAGCUUUGUUCCCGCCAAGUCAAGUUCCUCCAAGUCAAGUUCCUCCAAGUCUCGUCCAAGUUCGUCCCAGUCGCAUCUCGUCCCAAGUCAAGUCCUCGAUCGAAAUAUCAGCGAGCUAAGUGGCCAUAAUUACUAACUUCAUUUCCAUUAACCUAUCCCUUCCCUUCCCCAUUAGACUGUAACAAAUUAAGUAAGAAUUAAGUCGCCCUUUAACUCUUAAGAAUACUUUGCAAUUAUAUUUAUUGCAACAUUUAUAUAUACAUUGUAUUAUUUCUAUUAUUCUGAUUUGAUGGAUGAGAUUUGUCAUUCAUAUUAAUUAAAUAAUUACCAAGUGACAUCGUAA